rnacentral:rRNA from 1 species
AGAGUUUGAUCCUGGCUCAGGACUAACGCUGGCGGCGUGCCUAACACAUGCAAGUCGAGCGGGGUAGCAAUACCCAGCGGCAGACGGGUGAGUAACGCGUGGUCAACCUUCCCGAUAGUGGGGGAUAACUAGCCGAAAGGUUAGCUAAUACCGCAUACGAUCUAAGAGCGGCAUCGCUUUUAGAUGAAAGGAGCAAUCCGCUUUCGGACGGGACCGCGUCCCAUUAGCUAGAUGGUGGGGUAAUGGCCUACCAUGGCGACGAUGGGUAGCUGGUUUGAGAGAGCGACCAGCCACACUGGGACUGAGAAACGGCCCAGACUCCUACGGGAGGCAGCAGUGAGGAAUUUUCCGCAAUGGGCGAAAGCCUGACGGAGCGACGCCGCAUGUGGGAAGAAGGCCUUCGGGUCGUAAACCACUGUCGAAGGGGAAAAUACUGAUGGUACCCUUGGAGGAAGCCCCGGCUAACUACGUGCCAGCCGCCGCGGUAAUAC